UCGAGAAUCUUCGGCAAUGGACGAAAGUCUGACCGAGCGACGCCGCGUGCGGGAUGAAGGCCUUCGGGUUGUAAACCGCUGUCGUAAGGGAACAAAUCUAUAGGGGUUCUCCCCUAUAGUUGAGUGAUCUUAGGAGGAAGGACGGGCUAAGUUCGUGCCAGCAGCCGCGGUAAGACGAACCGUCCGAACGUUAUUCGGUAUCACUGGGCUUAAAGAGUUCGUAGGCGGCCUAGUAGGUCAGGUGUGAAAUCCCACAGCUCAACUGUGGAACUGCGCUUGAAACCACUAGGCUUGAGGGAGAUAGAGGUGAGCGGAACUGAUGGUGGAGCGGUGAAAUGCGUUGAUAUCAUCAGGAACACCGGUGGCGAAAGCGGCUCACUGGAUCUCUUCUGACGCUGAGGAACGAAAGCUAGGGUAGCGAACGGGAUUAGAUACCCCCGUAGUCC
rnacentral:rRNA from 1 species